UCUUAUAAAUAGCUGCUAAGCAGCUGGUCCUCCUCUCACCUCCUGACUCUGUCAGAAUCCCCCACCAGAAGCCCCUGACAGUCAUGCAGCUGGGAGAUCCCCCUUUCUCUUCUUCUCUCCUCUCCACUCUCUACCUCUGACAUAUGGCCGCCACCUCAACGAUGUCCACUGAAACCAGCCAGGGACUGAUUUCCAUGGGAGAAGGGGUCAAGCAGGCUGAGGGCUGGAUCCGACCACUGAAGCAAGCUGUCACCCAACACAAUCCGCAGAUUGUCUUUGCUCUCCGUUGAAUCCCCUGUUUGCAGCAUCCUGCUGGGCACGCAAUAGACACUCAGGAAAUAACUGUUUCUUGAAGGAUUAUAAGAGCUAAUGUUUAUUGAGAAUUUUGUAUUCUACCAUUUAAUCCUCACCAAUCACUUGUGAAAUAAGUAAUAUUAAUUAAUCCCAUUUUACAGAUGAGUAAAUGGAGACUCAAAGGAUUAAGUGACUUGCCAAAUGCUAAUGAGUGGUGGAGUGGGGCUUGAACCCUAGUAGUCUGACUGUUGAGUCUGGGAGAGGCCAUAUGGCAGGUCUGGUGGCAGAAGAGGAACCAGAGUGGCCCAGAACAAGGGAGGCAGAGAAAGUGGUGGCUCUGGGGGUAGGGAUGUGGGGAGAUCCUUUCUCCCAUUUAGGCUUAGGGGACCCAGAUUUCUGGCAUCACUGCUAGAUCGCCCCCGCUUCAGCUGUUCAGGGAGUAUUUUAGCGAGUGAAUGAGGCUGGACAUCCUUAACAGAUGCUGCCUGCCCACGUGGACUGGUCUUCCAGCCGCUCACUGCUGAGCUGAAGCUGUUGAACGUUUCCUCAGGCAUUCCCUCCACAGCAGGGCCUUCCAGCAAACCCGCAGGCUUCCUGGCUGCUGCCUUGACCUAGGUCCUGUUCUCAGGAGCUUCUCUGCGACAGGCGAGAGGCCAGGUGCUGGGAGUUCAAGGUCCUCAAAACAAAUGGUGACCACAUCCAAAUGCCAUGAAGCUGUAUGGGGUGUCAUCUGCUAAGGUAGGAGAUGGUGGGGAUGGACUCCACCUCAGAAUACAGGGAGGAUUUCAUCAGCAGAAGUGCUUAGAGACCUUGCUCCAGGGGAAGCCAGCUGCCAUGUUGUGAGAGUUCUGUGGAGAGGCCCAUGUGACAAGGAACUCGUGUCUUGGCCAACAUCCAAUGAGAACUCAAGGCCCACCAGGAGCCACGCAAUUGAGCUUGGAGACUAGAAAAAAUCUCCUGGGCUGGGGAAGAUGAAAGAGAGACAAGAAGAAUCCAUGAGCGCAUAGAUGGUUAGAAGUGUCUUCUGAAUAGAAGUAUCUCUAACUCUGCCUUCUGUGCCGAGCCCCGUGGAAGCAGGAAAACCCAAGGUGCUUUCCAAAAUCCAAGACCACAGGGCCCCUGUGCCUUUCCCAAAGGGAUAAAAUGGCUGUACUCAUGACAAUCUUCUGGAGAUUUUCGUGGCUCAGCAGGACACGUGGCAUGAAAGGAUCAAAAUGAUGACUCAUCAAGCAUGGCCCUGAGAGAGGACUCUGAUCCCAGACGCGUACUGCCAAUCCUCAGCACGGAAGGGAAAUGUCUUCCUUCUGGAUGGCCUCCUUUUAAUUUUUGGUCACAAUGAAAUCACUUGUCUUCUUUUGUGAUUCCUCUCAGAAUGUGGGAAGGAAGAUGAUAAGAGCAUCUCCUGAGGUCUGCAGGGUCCUCUUCAGCCUCUGGAGCAGACCUUCAAACAUAAACCCAAGUCGUCCAGGGCACGGAGUGGAUUUGUGAUCCUCCCUGGAGGUUGUUGGCUCCAAAUCCCAGGAAUGUGUUAUAUGAAAAAAUAAAUGCCUUUUUUUGCC